rnacentral:lncRNA from 1 species
UGGCAACAUCUCUCCGAACUUCUCUAGCGGUCGAGCCCCCACAACACUCCCAAGUUUUGCCGACGGAUAAAUCCCCACCAGCGUCGAUCAGAUUCUUCACGACAGACGGACUCCUACGGGAGCCGGACUUCAUCGCUGACUUUGACUGCGUGAGGACUUCGUCCGGACUCCUACGGGAGCCGGACUUCGCCCCCGACGUCAAUUGCAAGUGAACUUCGUCCGGACUCCUACGGGAGUCGGACUUCAUCCCCGGCUUCUACUGC